GUGCCCUCCCACACAGUCCCCCUUUCCUUGUAGUAAAGAUUGAUAUCGAUUCCCGGCAUUCACCGCAGUCAUGUGAUAGACUAAUAACUGGCUGACAGAUGUGUUUGCAGGCGAUAUGAUCAAUACGUCAGAUGUUUAGAGAUUUUUUUUUAAAACCCACGUUAGCCCUGACUAUAUUUAUGGCCGAGGCAGCAGCUGUUUCUCGCUGAUGUCUACGUCAGUAUGUUCGAAGGCCACCAUGGAGGAUUUUGUGACACCCAAGAGAGGACAGACACGUCUUCAUUCCAGUGUUAUGUCCGGCCUGCAAACAUAAGCUCUCGAAACUGCAGUGAUUCAGCAUGGCAGCUAAGAGUUCGCCAGAUGAUAACUUGCUGACUUGCCAGUCGAAACUGGACGAGGAUACACUCACAGACGUGUCUUCUGACGUCAGUUCUUCUUUCGAGAGGGAUCGGGAGUUCGAGAUCCUGCGGGAUCUUGCACCACGCUGCAGCAGUAGUCCGACGCCGGACGAUGUCGGGACGACUUCGACGAUCGCGCCGUGCGACGAGGCGUCGGAGACCCAACACGAGAAACAAGCAAAGGAAGGGCUGUUCUCGUCAAGCAAAGGCAGAAGGACUAACAACACUGAAGUAAACAUAAACAGAAAGGUCGCAGUGGAAAGAUCGAUGCGCGCGAACAGAGUGACUGACGCGGAGAGCGGUCAGGUCGAGUUGACGAGAACUGCGGGUCGAAGUUGUCGAUGGUCGUUGUUGUCAGCUGCCGAAGCGCCUUCUGCAAAGACGACAUCAAAAUCAAUCAUUCCAAGUCCCCGGAGCGAAUGCGUAAAAUACUUUCCCACCCUGAAUGGGAAAAACUCUGGUCGGGAGGAGGGUAGAUACGCCGAGGAAGACGAAGUCGAAGCACACAGAACGGGAACUAGUUCUGGCAGGUCGCAGCAGGUCCUUGCCGAUGAAAGGUGGCGAAGGAUCUGCGACGAGAGGUCAUCGAGUUCGUGCGGAAAUGAGUUUUGUUGCCACAUGCUCGCCUGCGAAGGAAUCAGUAAAGGUUCCAGAGCAGCCUGUUCCAAGACCGAUUUUCGGCAGCUUCGGGGCAAGCACGAUGUUAACGCCAUUUGCUCGUCCCCAGCCCCGGCAUAUUCUGUCAGAAACGACGGGCAGGUCUCCAAGCUCCGACUUGGAACCGUUCAAGGUACUUGUGUUCUCCGCCGAACGCAGAGUGAGCGGAGGGAGAGUAAAACUGGGCGAAAGGUCACUCGCGAACUAUCACUUCCUGUCCAGGAGCUGCCUUCUCCAAAGCUGGCCGCGGCAUCGGAAAGAACCUGCCUAGAUAUGGGCAAUGGAUCGCCAGACACUUUGAAAAGUUCCGCCUCGCUAGACUCGCUAGAGGACAAGGAUUCGCUGAUGAUGGGCUUCUCGCGCGGUCUCCACCAGCGCUGCGAUAAACUUUCAAGAAACUCUUCUUUUUGUGAGGAAGGUAGUGCAGCUAGAGCUCGUCGACAUGUCUUGCGCAGGGUUUGGAGCAUGUCGGACACGUCGUCGUCUUGCUUCAUGACUGGAGUGCCUCCCACGGCCAAGGAGACGGUGACCAGCAGGCUCAGGUUUGAGAAGCGCCACCAGGACCACGGGCAGGAGAGGCAGGAGUACCUCACGCCCACCCAGAGGAAAGACGUGCUCAUCCGUGAGUUGAAGAAGCAGGUCAAACAGCUCAGCAAGAUGCUGCAGGACAAGGAUGAGGAGAUGGAGGCUUGGCGGGCCAGACUGAGAACAGAGACAAGGGAGCUUCUCGCAACGGCGCAAAGGGAAACCGAGGAGGCCAUGAAAACGACCGCUCUGACGAGAGAGGAAGUAUUCUCUCUGCGUGCUUCGCAAGAGGAGUCCUUGACGAUGAUGUCUAAUCUGCGAAGACAAGUCGACGAACUGAAGAAGCAGAUAGUCAAGAAGGAACAAGAGACAGAGGAAAUGUUGCAGGAAAUGUUCAAAAAGGGACACGACUCUGCUGUGUUUGAACGCGAAGAGGAGCUGGAAAUGCAGGCGAAGAUCGUCCAGAAGGAUCCCCAGAUGAAAGGUACCCUGACGGACCUGCACAACAAGCUGGUGCGCACUCAAGCGGAACUGGCCAAGUGGCAGACGCUCCAACGGCACGAAGCCUACUACAAGAUGCCCGUGCCGGACACGGAGGCGGAGACGACCCUGUCCUUCCUCAAGGAUGCCGUGUACCACUACCUGACGGCGGACACCUUUAAGGACGGCGACGACCACCUCAGGGCCAUCGUGCGCAUCUUGAAGUUUUCUGACGCCCAGAAGGAAAAAAUAUCCAAAGUUCGGAUAAGGCAAAGAAACAAAUCUCUCACGGGGUUACCGUAAGCUCAGAACUCACAACAUUUACUGUCCGGACACCAACCUUUGUACAUCGCGACAGACUGACAGAGUGAAAAUACUUGGACAGUAAAACUCAAAGCAUCUCACUCCGAUAAUUUGUCUACAUUUUCUUAGAAACCAUCUCUUCCAUAGUUUCAUGCCUCAUGUUAAAAGCAUGAUGAACAAACAUUGCCGCAUUACUUGCAAAGUCUGUAUCUGGAAUGGUAGUGGAGACCAUGUGCACUUCCAAUUAUAUUAACUCAUGAUUUGAUAAUUGGGACCCUUCAAUCAAAACUAUAUAUUAUUUUGUUUAUAUUCGCUGCAAAAAAGGUUAAACAUCAGUACAACAGGAUGGAGAUACUAGAGAAUUGUACAAUCUAUGCGUGAUAGCAAACCUGAUGGUACUGUUGCCCCAUAUCCUGUCUAGCUUGACUAUUAUUGUUGUGUCGAUGAAUAAUUAUGCACUAGCUCCAUUUGUCUUCUUGUAAAGAGGUUUUAUUAUUUGUUCUGUGUUCACCUAGACCGACUGAGACGCCAUGUUGGUAGUUUAGGUUUAGCUGUUUGUGAACAGUCAUCGUUCUUAAGCUCCUUAUCUUGAUUUGUAAUGAUUUGACUUAAUAAGGGCUUGAGAUACCCUUUAAAAAACUUAACACAUUUAAUCAGUAGAAUUGUGACAUAUUUUUGAGCUGAACUGCCAAAACGGCGUCUGAUGACCUGACAAUCAUUUCGGACGCAGAUCAUGCUCAAACCUCACUAGUAUGGGAAGCUUUUUUUCGCCAUGAAACAAUGGAAGGCCAUGUACUGAAAGAGUUCUUGCUUUCUGAGGCAAAUAAAGUUGUCUUUCAUUGCUAUUAGUCGCGUUUUAUAUUCGAUUCAAUAGUGGGAUCAGCUAAUGAAAGAUAAUAAAAUUUAUACGAACAUAAAAAAAUAUUCGUCACAACAUUUUUUUCUUCAAUUUAUUUUGUACAACUUUUUGUAAAGCAAAUUGCUUCUUGUUGGGCGCCAUUAGUAUAUAAAUAUGAGAGAGAGAGAGAGAGGAGAAAAGCGAGAAAUAAAUGCGGAUGAGGAGGAUGCAGCCACACAACCACUGAGCCCCUCCUCGCAAACACUUCAGCAACAAAUAUGCACACAGUGAUGCGAUGACUGUUUGCAAUGAGAAGAACCGAGACAACCUCUUCCUGUUGGAAGAUACAACCACCAUCUGCUUCCUUGUUGGCGCUAGCUCGGUCACGUGACGAGGGUGGGACAUCACGUCACAGCAAGUUCACAUAAAUAGCAGGUUUGCCCACUAGCCCCACGCGAGCAGAAAACAUAUCCGGAGAAGUGGAUGCGAACCGUGUCCACGACGUCGAAGUCAUCCAAAAUUGUGCUCCGUGAUCGACCUGACUGCCUAACAGGACCAUCUGCUUCGUUGUACUGGUUCGGAGACGAGUCAACAUGAUGCGAUUAUUUUGUAUCCUGGUACUUGUUGCAGCACUUGCACUUGUCUCCUGCACGGACAGUAAGUAGGAUGUAAAUUUUGUAAUCUGAUCCUAACUACGUCUCGUAUAAUACUGUCGGCCUACUAGCGUCUUUCUUCGGUUAGUUCAGGAUAGUAUAUAGGUAUAUACGUGUAUAGGUAGACUGCUGUCUGUCUGCCAAGACCAACGCUUAGCCUCUUGUGAAGUGAUCCGCUGUUAGUCUCGGCGAGCCGUAACAAAGACUGUGACUAAACCGGAAGCUGUGAAUAGCAUGCCUCGUUUUAGUAGUUAACUGGGAAAAAAAAAAUCGUCUGCCAGGAGUCCAGUAAUACAAGUUAGUGGUUCAGGCGAGAGUCUCUCAGAAACGAAAGUCUGCGUAGGUCCAGGGAGAGAGAACUUGAAUAUUUCAUAUAUAUAUAUGUAAAUCAUCUUCUCACUCAUCGAAUCACAUAUCCUUUUAUACCCCUUCCAUCCUGUGACGACACCGCGAAGUGCGUUUGUGUGUGUCUCUCUCUCCCUUUCGAAAAUAGAGAGAAGCAGUUUAUGGUCUUCAGCUAUAUGAUUUAACCAUACCAUAUUAAAACCCACAGAUCCUAAGGCUACUCUCACUUUUGUUACCCAGUUUGUUUUGCAUGAAGAUUAAAUAAUAAUUGAUACGCUUCCUUCGAUACACAGUUCACAGACAUUUUUGUUACGGCAAUUUUAAAAAAAAAGCCCCAUGGACCGCGUGUGUGUGUCCCUUUAAACAAGGGCAUCAUAUAUAAAAGCGACAUAUCUUCCGUUAGCUUUAUAACAGCGAUUUUUCUCUUUGCAGACUCAAAUACGACUAUGGCAAUAAACUACCACACACAGCAAAGGAACAUGCACUCCAGCAUCAGCAUUCCUCGUUGUAGUUACGUCCCUUGCUACCAUCGUGUUUGCAAACAGUUGCCGCUAAACGCUUGUUUUUUUUGUACUCCUUCUUUUUUAUUUUAGUCUUGACUAUUCUUGUUCGUCUUAAACGUGCAUGGUACAUAAAACUGUCUAUUAACCAUGUUGCUAUUUCUGGUAAACAAACAAACAUGAUGCCUGACGACUUCAAAAGUAGUUUAGUCAUCUACUCAAGCUUUGAUCUCUGCCUUGACAUAUGCAGGUUACUCUCAUCUCAAGUAAGCUGGAUAUUUAUGUAACCAAAAUCCAUGUUCAUGUGCAAACGAUUCGCAGAAUUUCGUUACGAAAAUCCAGCUUCAGCCACAAAAGUUUAUUUUAAACACAAUUACAUUAGCAUAUACCUUAUGAACUGUAUUCGAGAUAUUCCAAAGGGAUAGGUUUCAUAUCUUUAAUAAAAUCUCAGUAUUACUGUA